AAAGAUUUGAUGGAUAUUCUGCUGAAAGUAUAUCAAGAUAAAGAUGCUGAGUUUCAGAUAAGCAGGAACCAUAUGAAGGCCUUCUUUGUGGAUCUCUUCAUUGCAGGAACACAUACUUCAGCAGAUAGCACGCACUGGGUCAUGGCACUGCUCAUCAAUCAUCCAAAUGUAUUCAAUAAACUGAGAGGGGAGAUAGAGUCAGUAGUUGGAAAAAAUAGACUAGUGGAAGAGUCUGAUAUUCCAAAUCUUCAUUAUUUGCAAGCAAUAGUGAAGGAAACUUUGAGACUAUACCCAUUAGGACCUUUCAUACCUAGAGUUAGUUGUGAAGAUUGUAAAAUUGGAGGAUUUGAUAUACCCAAAGAAACUUUAGUUCUGAUCAAUUUAUAUUCAAUAAUGAGGGAUCCAGAGUUAUGGGAUAAUCCUGAUGAGUUCAAACCAGAGAGGUUCUUGGUUUCCCAUAAAGAAACUAAUAGGCAAAAUCACUUAUUGGGUUAUGUUCCCUUUGGUGGGGGAAGGAGGAUGUGCCCUGGUUCACACUUAGCUUUAACCAUAAUUCACAUUACUGUUGCGUCUAUGGUUCAGUGCUUUGAUUGGAAGGUUCCGGGUGAAGAUGGAGAUGGAGAUGGAGGAAAGGUUAACAUGGAAGCUAAAUCAGGCGUGAUUAUGUCCAUGGCUCAUCCAAUUGUGUGUCUUCCUGUGGUUCGCUAUAACCCAUUUGCUGCUUAAAUCAGGCAUGAUAAAUGUAUUGAAU
rnacentral:misc_RNA from 1 species